rnacentral:misc_RNA from 1 species
UACGAACUGUGCAAACGUUAUUCGGAAUCACUGGGCUUAAAGGGUGCGUAGGCGGCCAUUUAAGUAGGGUGUGAAAGCCCGCAGCUCAACUGCGGAAUUGCGCCCUAAACUGGAUGGCUUGAGUGGGAUAGGGGUGUGUGGAACUUCCGGUGGAGCGGUGAAAUGUGUUGAUAUCGGAAGGAACGCCGGUGGCGAAAGCGACACACUGGGUCUCAACUGACGCUGAGGCACGAAAGCCAGGGUAGCGAACGGG